rnacentral:pre_miRNA from 1 species
UGGGCCUUUGUGAGCAAGAUGCGUCACUUAUUGCAACAACUGGCCUGCAAAGUCCCAGU